GACGAACCGUGCGAACGUUGUUCGGAAUCACUGGGCUUAAAGGGCGCGUAGGCGGCGCAGCAAGUCCGGGGUGAAAGCCCCCAGCUCAACUGGGGAAGGGCCUCGGAAACUGCUGCGCUCGAGGGAGGUAGGAGGCAGGGGGAACUUCUGGUGGAGCGGUGAAAUGCGUUGAUAUCAGAAGGAACGCCGGUGGCGAAAGCGCCCUGCUGGACCUCUACUGACGCUGAG
rnacentral:rRNA from 1 species